CCGCCGCCCCCGCCCGCCUACGGGAGGCAGCAGUGAGGAAUUUUGCGCAAUGGGGGCAACCCUGACGCAGCAACGCCGCGUGAGUGAAGAAGGCCUUUGGGUCGUAAAGCUCUGUCAACAAGGAAGAAAUUAGGAUCUAUUAAUAGUGGGUUCUAUUGACGGUACUUGUGGAGGAAGCGCCGGCUAACUCCGUGCCAGCAGCCGCGGUAACACGGGGGGCGCAAGCGUUAUUCGGAAUUAUUGGGCGUAAAGGGCGCGCAGGCGGUCUUGUCCGUCAGGUGUGAAAGCCCGGGGCUCAACCCCGGAAGUGCACUUGAAACAGCAAGACUUGAAUACGGGAGAGGAGAGAGGAAUUCCUGGUGUAGAGGUGAAAUUCGUAGAUAUCAGGAGGAACACCGAUGGCGAAGGCAUCUCUCUGGACCGAUAUUGACGCUGAGGCGCGAAGGCGUGGGUAGCGAACGGGAUUAGAUACCCCGGUAGUCCACNCACUAAACGUUG
rnacentral:rRNA from 1 species